rnacentral:lncRNA from 1 species
CUCCAUUCUCAAAGUCUUCAUCUCUCUAAACCUUCAGACAAACGACAUCAAAUCUGAUCACAUGGCUGGAGGUAAUUCUAUUUCCGCUGUGUUUAAUUCAUCUGAUAUAUCAUGAGGUUUUUAGUUUCUUAUUGAUAUACCAUAUAGUUUUAUCACAUUUGGUAUCAGAGCCAUGCUUCCAUGCCUGUGUUCGAUUUAAUUUUUGAUGGGUUUGAGGGAUGAGUUUUUGAGAUCUUCUUCAUGAAAUAGGUAUUUCAGAAUAGAGUGCACAGUCACAGAGUUGUGUUUUGUUUCUCCUUGAAACUUUUGAUAUGAGAGACACCAUUUUUAAACAGAGUUUCAGUAUAUACUAUAGACAUUCAAUAGGCUCCAUAAGAGGUCAAACUACCAUAAGCAUUUAUAUGACCCUUGUUAUCGGAAAUCAAGAUGAAGAGUCUGGUUCAGUUUUUUAAAUUUAUGAGUCUUCCCA